rnacentral:rRNA from 1 species
UGAGCAACCUGCCCUUGACUCUGGAAUAACAGCUGGAAACAGCUGCUAAUACCGGAUACGACCUCCGAUGGCAUCAUCUGGAGGUGGAAAGCUCCGACGGUCAAGGAUGGGCUCGCGGCCUAUCAGCUUGUUGGUGGGUAACGCCCACCAAGGCUUCGACGGGUAGCUGGUCUGAGAGGACGAUCAGCCACACUGGGACUGAGACACGGCCCAGACUCCGUAACGGGG